GGAUGUUGCGACACACGUUAACGUUCUUCCUGGUAUCUACAAUGACGGGUGGGAGGUUACUUGUGUGGAAACAUUCAGGCAUGAAUGAACAAAUGCAUGACAACCGAGCGGCUUUCUUUGUUCAGACAGACUCUGAAAGGGUAUGGUAGUAAGUGUCACAGGCGCAAGAACUGCAACACUGCUGGGAUUUUCAUGCUCAACGGUUUCCUGUGUGUAUGAAGAAUCAUCCACCACCCAGAGGACAUCCAGCCAACUUGACAAAACUCCCCAAAACUGUGGGAAGCAUUGGAGUCAGACACCUUGUAGAGUCAAUUCCCUGACGAAUUGAAGCUGUUCUGAGGGCAUAGGGGACGAAGGGGGUGCAACUCAAUAUUAGGAAGGUGUUCCUAAUGUUUGGUAUAUGUUUGGAGAAGAUCCCAGAGAAUGAUCCCAUGAAUGUUAUGGCUGAUAAUUAUAUAUAUUUAAUUUGCUUGUUAUUUUUGGCUAAACAGUUUGAUUAAAUAUAUAAAGUUUUAAUGUAUUUUCUUGGGAGGCCAAACUAUCUGGAUUCAGGUUCCAUGCUUGAUUAGGGGAACAAAUACAGUCCAUAUGUGCAUGACAGAAGAAUUGGAGAAAAAAAUCAGCAUGGAAAUAGCCUGCUAAUGUGUUAUAAAGAGUCCUCGUACGUGUUUAUAACAAUUACAUGUAUAAUACAAUAUAAUGUUUCUGCUGUGCAUUUUCUAUUAAAUACCAGCCCUUGAAUUAAAAUGAAUUGAUCAAAUCAUAGCCUACUUACCCAGAUGAGGAGACGGAUCAGGACAUUUUUCAAACUUAUUCCACAAAGUUGUAGUGUUAGUAGUUGUUGUAGUAGUUGUAGUAGCUGCAUUGGGUAAAUGUAUAUCCUUAAACUUCGGAGUUCGCAAUAUUACAACGCUGUUAUUAAGGUCGUGUUGUCCAUUAUCUUGCGGUGGAAGUGUCACGGUAAUAAAAGCUGUUUCAAUUCG